UCGAACGCGGAAAGUUCCCUUCGGGGGGCGAGUAGAGCUGGCGCACGGCCUGUNGAUAACACGUAGGGUAAUCAUACCUUCGGAUGGGGAAUAACAAUCGGAAACGGUUGCUAAUACCGCAUAAUGCAGCGGCACCUAAUGGUGACAGUUGUUAAAGCGGGGGAUCGAAAGACCUCGCGUCUGAAGAGGAGCCUGCGGCGGAUUAGCUAGUUGGUAAGGUAACGGCUUACCAAGGCGACGAUCCGUAGCCGGCCUGAGAGGGCGGUCGGCCACACUGACACUGACAUACGGGUCAGACUCCUACGGGAGGCAGCAGUCGGGAAUUUUGGGCAAUGGGCGAAAGCCUGACCCAGCAACGCCGCGUGAAGGAUGAAAUCCCUCGGGAUGUAAACUUCGCAAGAACGGGAAGAAUAAGUCUGUGUAAAUACCAUAGAUGAUGACGGUACCGUUUGUAAGCUCCGGCUAACUCCGUGCCAGCAGCCGCGGUAAUACGGGGGGAGCAAAGCGUUGUUCGGAUUUACUGGGCGUAAAAGGGCGCGUAGGCGGCCCAGCGCAAGUCNAGUUGUGAAAAUCUCCGAACCUUAACUCNGAAAAGGUCAACUGAUACUGCCCGGGCUAAANUGCNGNAAGGGGCAAACUGGAAUUUCNUNGGUUGUAACCGGUUGAAAAUGCGUAAAUUUUCAAA
rnacentral:rRNA from 1 species